rnacentral:rRNA from 1 species
AACGAACGCUGGCGGCAGGCUUAACACAUGCAAGUCGAGCGCUCCGCAAGGGGAGCGGCAGACGGGUGAGUAACGCGUGGGAAUCUACCCAUCUCUACGGAAUAACGCGUGGAAACGUGUGCUAAUACCGUAUACGUCCUUCGGGAGAAAGAUUUAUCGGAGAUGGAUGAGCCCGCGUUGGAUUAGCUAGUUGGUGGGGUAAAGGCCUACCAGGCGACGUUCCAUAGCUGGUCUGAGAGGAUGAUCAGCCACACUGGGACUGCGACACGGCCCUGACCUCUCCGGCAGGUAGCGGAUGGGAAUAAUGUACCAGGGGCGAAAGCGUGACCCAGCCAUGCCGCGUGAGUGAUGAAGGCCCUAGUGUUGUAAAGCUCGUUCAGCGGUGAAGAUAAUGACGGUAACCGGAGAAGAAGCGCCGGCUAACUGCGUGCCAGCCGCCGCAGUAACAC